CCUACGGGUGGCUGCAGUGAGGAAUAUUGGUCAAUGGGCUUACGCCUGAACCAGCCAAGUCGCGUGAGGGAAGACUGCCCUAUGGGUUGUAAACCUCUUUUGUCAGGGAGCAAUUGGCGCUACGUGUAGCGUUAUCGAGAUUCCCUGAAGAAAAGGCAUCGGCUAACUCCUUGCCAGCAGCCGCGUUAAUACGGAGGAUGCGAGCGUUAUCCGGUUUUAUUGGUUUAAAGGGGUGCGUAGGCGGAAUGCCAAGUCGUCGGUAAAAUCGCGGGGCUCAACCUCGCUCCGCAGUUGAAACUGGCGUUCUUGAGUGGGCGAGAAGUAUGCGGAAUGCGUGGUGUAGCGGUGAAAUGCAUAGAUAUCACGAAGAACUCCGAUUGCGAAGGCAGCAUAC
rnacentral:rRNA from 1 species